GUCCACACAGUUGGCAGGAGGCUGAAAGGGACAGUUGGGAGUUGAGGGGAGCCCCGGAGGGCUUUUGAAGAUGGGGAAACAGAGGCACUGAAAGUCCUGCGAGCGUUGUCUCCAGGACCAUCUGCAGUGGGAAUUAGAAUGGGCCCCAAUUCAGUAUUGGGGAAUACUGGAGUCCUUAAAAGAAGAGGAGAUGCACAGAGACGGGACAGGACACAAGAGGAUGGAGACAGAGAUUGGAGAACUGCAGCCGCAAGACAAGGACAGCCUGGAGCCACCAGGAGCUGGAAGAGGCAGGAAGGAUUCUCCCCUAGAGCACUCAGAGGGAGCUGACACAUUGACUUUGGACUUCUGGCCUCUAGAAUGUGGGGGAAUACGUUUCUGUUGCUGUGAGUCACCCACGUCAUGGUAUUUUGUUACGGCAGUCCCGGGCCCUCAUACACUGUCCUUCUGUUCUUUGCAUAGUGAUGCUCCACUGGGGCUGGGCAACCCCACUUCACCAUUGCCAACUGCUCCCUGUUUGGUUACACAAAUAGGGGGCGCUAGAGGGCAACGCAGGAGAAGGCAGGAGAGCCGAGCUCCUUGCCGUCCCCUCAGCAUCCCAGCAUCAAUGGGUUUCACCUUGUCAGAAGCAGCUGGUUCCACUUUCCAGAAUCUCUUCCCCCAUCCAUGCUGCACCCCUCCACCCCCACCCUUCAGAGACGCCAGCCUCAGUUGCUUAGCUUUGUUUCCUCGAGGGUCUGGGUCUUACCUCCAUAGGACCCCUCCUCCAAGCUCCCAAAUUCUCCUAACCUCAACCUCUUCCCUUUGUCCUCCUAGCCCUGCAGGUGUUAGCUGAGUUCAUCUGUAAUUCUUGCCUCUGCAGUAUCUUAAAGUUCCCUUUUGCCUCUUUUCAGUCUUCCAAUAACUAGAUUUAAAAACAUAUUUAUAUUAAAUUCUCUGUGUU